rnacentral:tRNA from 1 species
CAGGGAAUAGUUUAAUUUAGAAUUCCAGCUUUGGGUGCUGGUGGUAAAGAUAGGUCUUUUUCCCUGA